UGUGCAGAUAUAUAUGUCAUAAAAUAAGUGUAACAAGCAACAAUAUUAUACUUCACAGAAGCAAAAACAAUUGCAUGUCCUAUUACGAUUAUCCAUAAAAGGUUGUUAAUACUUGUUUCACUAUCUAAUAAUUACAUUAGAUGUAUGUUUCAUUAUAAUAUUUUAUUCUGAUUGGCUAACUGCACAUCACGUGUUAUUCCGUAAGCAGUUGCAAUGCUCAAUACCACUUUUCAUUCAUGAUAACACGUGCUCCAACAAUAAAGUGCACAGGUGAAUUAAAUAAUAAAAUAUAUAAAAUUCGUGUUUUCAUGAUCAUAGCUAAAAAAUGUAAUUAUAAGUAUCGAAUGCUUCUUUUUGUAACUUUAUAGGGUUGUAAAAGCGUUGACCGUGCGUACAUUUUUAGAAUGAAGCGCUUCCGCGCUUCAUACAAAAUGUACUUCGGUCAACGCUUUUACGCCCCAAUAAAUUUACAAAAAGAAGCAUUCAAUUCUUAAAUGGUUUUGAUUUGUCAAUAGAUACAUUGUAAGCGCGACAACUGCGAUUCGAUCAAACCGCAUUUUGGAAACUUUACUAUUGUUUGGUAAUCCGUCAUUCGGCAACCAAUGUCUUAAUUCGUUGUAGAUUUACCGGAAGAGAUAAAUGGUGUGACGUGUACAAAUUGUAUGAUAUCAAUUUUGACAUGAAAAAAUAUGUCAUGAUUUCACUUUGUGAAAAUAAUUUUAAUCUCAGCUUUUCGGUCUAGUACGAAGCAUUGUUAUUAAUCAUGGUUAUCACAUUAACAUGUUCCCGCCCUGAUAUACAUGUAAUUUUCUCCACUGAAUCCAUAUAAAUAAACCUGUAUAAAACAAAAUUAGAUCCCCUUAUAAAAUCUACAGUAUUCAAUUUUCGAAUGUUUGUCGAAUUCAUUUAUAGGAUAGAGCAUGGAAACGGGAAAAUCAAAUGUGCCAAAGAAAUAAAACAACCCGAAAUAGAGCCGAAAACAGCACAAGGCCAUACGUUUGAUUUGCAUAUAACAUCCAGGUAUUUUCUAAUUAGUAUCCGAAUACCUUACAACUAGAUAGCAUUGCAAAAAUGGUUUCACUUAGCGUUCACUUGCG
rnacentral:lncRNA from 1 species